CCAUAAGAAAGCAAUGGAUGCAAGGGGAAGAAGGGAGGUGGGGCAGGUUCUGGUGAGUGCUACAGCCUUGAUAAUGUAUUGCAGUAGCUUUGGACAGAGAACAGAUUUUUAUUUAGUUUUUUUAAUUACUUACAUACCAUAGUGUUGGGACUUUUAACCUGUUAUGUGCUUCCCAAACAGCAGAAUGUAGGAGAGAUGUCUUACAGCAAAUGUAACACCCCACUGGAAACACGAUUGAUGCUUCCAGCAGUAUCAGGGGUAAUGGAAAUAAAGUAAAAUAUUAGCUUUUAAUAGUACUAAGGGAAUAAAAUCUGAUUUACUUUGCAUGGAAAUUUUUACUUUAUAGAAUAAUUAGGUAAGAAAUUAAUUGUAAUUGAGAGAGAAACUGCAAAUUUUAGGCUACAGUAGGUGAACUGGAGGGGGGAAUCUAAGGUUUUUGUAGCUCGGGUAGUUUUAAUGCCUAUAAUUUACCUUUUCUCAAAUGUUUACAAUUCCUGAUUUAGUGGAAAAACUCCUAAUGUGAUCAAUGUUUCUUAACCAGCACAUUUUUUGAAAAUGUAUUUCUCCCCCCCACCACCCUACUUCGGGACACCUUAAGGGACUUUUUAAGCCCCUUAAGGACACGACAUGUGACAUGUCAUGAUUCCCUUUUAUUGCAGAAGUUUGGUCCUUAAGAGGUUAAGCCAUUUCUGUAAGAAGUCUAAAUUAAGUGUUUACACCCCUGAUAGUGUUUUAGUGCCAUCUACUGACUGGAGAUAUGCAUGACCGCUUCUCAUACACUUUACAAGGUGCCUAACUUCAAAGGAACAGAAGCACCAUUUUAGCUUCUUGGGUUCUGUACAGUUCAUUGUAAGAGAACAUUUUGGGCUGUCUAGUAUAGUGUAGUCACUGGCCUUUCUGUGUGAUGUUUAACCCUCCCCACCACACACCAUUAUUUACUUACCUGCUCUUUUGUAAUGGGCUGGUUGGAUAGGUUUCCAGAUUAUACAAAUCAGCAUUGUACAUUUUGUUCUGUUUGAUUUCAUCCAACUAGUGCCAAACUUAAUGGAACUCUCAGAAGGCCCCUGGUCAAUUUUUCUUGCACCUAUCUGUAUGUGUGGCAGUGUCUCUGUAUGUGUCUGUCAAUGUGUAUGUGUAUAUCUAUAUCUAUCUCUGUAUGCGUGGCAGUGUAUGUGUCUGUAUGUCAGUGUCUAUACUUGUAUGUCUGUAUCAGUAUUUGUGUGUCUUUGUCUGAAUCUGUAUGUGUGGCUAUCUUUGUAUCUAUUUGUCUGUACAACCAUCUGUGUGUUAGUGUUUUUAUCGGUGUAUCAGUAAGUGUGACUGUGCAUAUGUGUAUCUGCCUGUCUGUCCAUGUUUAUCUGUAUCAGUAUGUGUGUUAGUGAUUGUAUCUUUGUGUCUAUGUAUCUGAAUGUGUUUUGGUGUGUCUUUGCCUGUAUCUGUGUGUCUGCAUAUGUGGCAAUGUUUGUAUCUUUUUGUCUGUGCUGUCGUUUGUGUAUCUGCAUGUAUGGCAAUGUUUGUAUCUUUUUGUCUGUGCUGUCGUUUGUGUAUCUGCAUGUAUGGCAAUGUUUGCAUCUUUUUGUCUGUGCUGUCGUUUGUGUAUCUGCAUGUAUGGCAAUGUUUGCAUUUGUGUCUGUACAGCCAUGUGCAUAUGUGUCUGUGUUUGCAUCUGUAUGUCUAUAUGCAGGUGUGUUGUUUGUGUAUUAGACUGAUUUGUUCGAGCUGCAUAUAGUAUAGCUUCCUUAAAUUGAUGGGACUGCAAAUUAAUUAUUAUAUCUCUCGGUAGGUGUUGAGAAACCGAGCUAGGUUUGCUUUAAAGAUGGUAUUGUUCCAUUUUGGUAUUUAGAAUUGACACUUCUAUUUUGAGUGUUGCCCAUAAAGUAUCCAAAUACUCAGGUAUUUUAUCUUGUGUAAUUGCUUCUGGAACAUUUCUUAUUCUUAGAUUGUUUCUUCUUAAACGAUCUUCCAAAUCUCCUAGUUUUCCUUCUAUUUGUCUCAUUUGAUGAUACAGCUGCUCAUUUUGUUCUUUGUUUGCUCUGCUUUCGUAUUCCAAAGCUGUGAUUUUUUUUUUUUUCACUUUGCUUUAGUUUUUCCAAUAUUUCCAGAAACUGUUUUUUUGUUUCUGCUGUGUUUUUAUUAAAUUCAGCAGUUAUUGCCACCAAUUGUUCUUCUAAACAGUGUUUUAGAAAAUCUGUUGUAAUAUAAUUUUCUGUUUGACUGACUGGAAGGGCUUUGAUUAAAAUCUUCACUUUUUGAUGAAUACAUAAUUGAGCUUUCAAGAUUUUUUUUCUACAUUAGAUUUUUGUCCAGGUGAAGAGAAACUUGAGGGGUUUUUACUUUUUUCUGUUUGUUGAUCCUGCUUUGCUGCUUUCUUGAUGGCAGCUUUUCCUGAUGACUUGGUAGCCAUAUCUUUUUAUCUUUUUUUCUUCUUCCUCACUCCCCUUAUUUCUUCUCCUUUUCCUUUAAUAAGAAGUUAUUCAGUGUUCACUUUUUCCUCUUUUUUUUUUUUCCCACCUCCUUUCCCCUCUCACUCUCCUUUCUCUCUCUUCUCUCUUUUGUUUUUUAGAGAUUUUAUUUAUAAUUAUUCUUUAUAUUUGUUUAUCUACAGCUAGUUUAUCUUUUUCUCAUCUCAGCAUAUACAUCAGGAUAAAUAGAAAUAGGGGAGGGUAGAAGUAUUUAACUUAUCUUCAGUUCGUUUUCCUCACAUAAAACUCUUCAGAUAGCGUUUCCAUAUCACUUCAUAUAAGUAGGUUUACGAUCAAAUUCUUGUCGACUUACUACCGGAAGCAGAGACUACGGAGAUUUACUGCUCACAACACUUGAAGUCUUGUCAGCCUUUUUGUCAGCCCUUUUAGCACCGUUCCUGCCUCGUGUGUCGGCAGAACGCCGCUUCCUCCUCCAUCACCGAGACGCCUCCUCGCCUCAGGAUGCGUACAUGCGUACGUGCGUGCGGACCUCCGCCCACCUCUACGUCAUCACGCAAACCAAAAGAACACUUUGUGUUUCACAAGGAGCAGGUGUGUUGUUUGUAUUGAUUUGUGUCUGCAAUUCAAUGUGUCAGUGUUUCUAUCUGCAUGUGUGCCAGUGACCGUGUCUGUAUGUGUCAGUGUUUGUAUAUGUAAAUCGAUGUAUCUGUGUGAGUGUGUCACUGUUUGGAUCUGUGUCUGUGCAUCUGCAUAUGUGUUUGUUUUUGUCUGUAUUUGUGUCUGUGUGAUUUUACAGAUCUGUGUAUUUCAGUGUGUCUGUAUGUAUCUGUCAGUGUUUGUAUAUGCUGGGGCAUUACAAAAAAUAAAAAAAAUACACAUUUUAAAUUUCAACUAUAUUAAUAACAAACCUUUUACAAAUAUGAGGGGUACAAUUUAUGGAAAUGGGCUGCAAAGGGGUACUCAAGUUUAAAAAAAAAAAAAAGGGGGAGGAUUUGCUGCAGCCUUUGCAAGCUCUUUUAAGGUAUACAUUGAAAAAUUCAUGCAUGUGUUCACUGGAGGAAUAUCUACUAAACAGUGAUUUAGAAUAUAUACAUACAUAUACACACGCACACACGCGUCUUUGCUAUGUGGAAGUGUACUGCUAGUUUAACAGAAACAAAUUCUAAAUUAAAUAGAAAUAAAUGAAAUGUAGACAUUAGAUCUCUCUACAUGUAGUGUUUAGAAAGGCUGUGCACAUUACAGGCAGGGAGCUGUACCUAGGGCUGCAUAAACAAAGUGAUUUAACUCCUAAAUGGCAGAGUUGAGCAGUGAGACUGCAGGUGCAUGAUCUGUACACUUAAACUGCUUCAUUAAGCUAAAGUUGUGUUUGUGACUGGUAUUCAUUGAAGUUUUAAUUUGUUGUACACUAUCUUUCGGCCCUCCAGAUGCUCUGCACUACAUUUCCCAUAAUGCUCGGACAGCCAUAAUGCUGGCAAAGAAUCAAGGGAGAUGUAGUCCAAAACAUCUGGAGGGCCGAAGGUUCCCCACCCCUGGUGUAGAGUGUGCCAUGCACUCACUCUCCCCGUUAAGAGUAACUUACAAAUCAAACCAUUUCAAAUUCCUCACCUAUAAGAAAGUCCCCAAGAGCGGUCUAUUAGGAAGUUGGAGUUCUAUCUUUAGGGCUGUCUAUGCCAUUUUUGUCCAGGUUGUCUAUGAAUGCUGCAUGCCUAAAGGGACACUGUAGGCACCCAGACCACUGCCGCUCAUUGAAGUGGUCUGGAUGCAAUGUUCCUUAACCCUACAGUGGUAAUUACUGCAGUUUCUGAGAAACUGCAAUAAUAACCUUGCAGGGUUAACUCCUCCAAGGUCUCCCCCUGCCGGCUGAUGUGGGUGUAGCCUAACUUAGAGCCAAGGGACAUCGGAGCUGGAUUCAGGUAAGUGGGGGGGGGGCACUGUAGGAUUCUAUAGUGCCAGAAAACGGCUUUGUUUUCCUGGCACUAUAGAAUCCCUUUAACUUGUCAUGAUCUUGCUAUCCUCCCAACUAUGCCGAUUGCUGCCCACUGCCUUGCGCGCAUGACUGUGAAUUUGGCUGUGUAUAUGAACUAAUAAAAACUGCGUUAUGGCUGCUGUCCUCUUAUAGAACAGUCUCACUCAUGUGAUGUGUGGAAAUGUUGCUGGGGUAUCACAAAAGUUUUUUUUGUUUUUUUUUUUUAAAACAGUUUAUCUUUUUACUUGAUGUUUGCUGAUCCUGUUCAGCAAUCUAGCAUUAGUAGUGGAAGCAGAUUGUGGAGGCAAGAUGAUCUAUAGUGAUCUUGUUGGUAACAAGACUCCAGUCCAAGUUCUAUCUUUAAAAAAAACAUCUUUUUGUACUGUUGAUACAAAAGAAGGCCACAACUACUUAAAGCAAUGGACACUUAUGCCACAAAAAAAGGAGGUCUGGGGGAAUUGAAAUUAGCACUUGAAUUUCUCCUCAGAUCAACAAUCCACAUACAUCUUGAAAUGUUUUUCCAGAAAACCAUCCAGAUCUUUUAUUUUUAAUAUAUAUUUAUAUAUAAAAUAUUAUAAGACUAGCUCCUUAGGUAGAUAAUUCCAAAUCUUUGUUCUUAUUGCAUAGAACUCUUUCUUCCAGUCUCAAUGGAUCCAUUAUAGAGUGCUGUGGAAUUUGUUGGUGCUUUAUAAAUAAUAAUGGUCACUAGUCUAUUGUAUAUUCAUGUUAAUGAACAGGAAUGUACCAAGCAACCUAUCGAAAACAAUUUGACUUCUUACAAGGGGAGGGGUACUCCUGGCACCAUAACCACUACAUUGAUUUGCAGUGGCUAUUGUGCUUGGACUGUUCCUCUAAAUAAGGGUCCAGAACAGUGAUAAAUUAGUCUGCCAUGUAAUGUGCUCUAUACAGUGAUCUCUAUGACCCCAUUUAGAGUUCAUAGACUGAAGCGUUAGUCUGACUUGGACUAUAUUAUUUAUAUAAACUUAUUUUGUAGAUGUGUAGUAAUUGGAUAGUCUGGAGAGGGUUAGAUACACAUGGGCUGUAAAAUUAGAGAGUGAGCAGUUCUUGGAUUGUUUCAGUAUAGAUGCCAACUAAUCAUUUACGUUAAAUUUACAUCCUGAGCAGAAGGCAAAAAAGUAGUGUCUGUACUAUAUUUUCAUUCUUGCAGUGUUUGCCCUCUGCAAGGAACAUUGGUAAACAUAAGCUGUCCCUCACAUCCCUUUCUUCUAACAGAGACCCAGCAGGCAGCGUUAUCCUGGAAUUUGCAUUCAUGGCACCAGUCAAGGGACAGAGCUGUCAUUAAACCGUCAGGAGGUGACAUAAAUACUUAAAAUGGGAUUACAGGACGUGUCAGAGCUACAUGGGUGGUCAGAAUAGCUCUGAAGAAACAGGUUGUGAAUGUAUAAAAAAACUUUUAUGAUCAAAGAAAGAAGCGUCUAAAGAUUGCUGAUCUCGGCCCUUGACAUCAGCUAAAUAUGUAAGAACUUCACCGACCAACACACAAAUUCAUGUUCAUGAUCCAAGCUUGUCUUUACCGGUGUGUUAAUUAUUUAAAGUAAUUCUUUACAUCUCAAAUAUUGUCUGCA